GGGCGCGUGGCGAAAUUGGCAGACGCAUACGCUUCAGGUGCGUACGGAGCAACCCAUGAGAGUUCAAGUCUCUCCGCGCCCA
rnacentral:tRNA from 1 species